AUUGAAAUGUUAUUGUUUUUCGUGUUUUAAUAUAAAUCCCAUGGGGUAGAAAUUUUGUCUUGUUCAUGGCUAUGUGCUAGUAGCCAGGUUAGUGCCUAGCACAUAGUAGGUGUUCAAUGAGUAUGUUCUCAUAAACACAUGAAUGAGUGAAUGAAAGAGCACCAGCUGUCAAAUGCCUCUCUCUGAUGACAGUACCCACUAGUUCCUCUUUAUAACACUCAUAACCCUUUUAAUUACUUGACAUUUUUAUUCUCUGCUAGAUUAUGGCUGGUUUCAUUCACUGCUGUAACCCUAAAUUUCUUUCAAAGUGUUCUUUUAAUAGGUGCUGAGUGAAAACGAAUGAAUGAACUGUCUACUUCGAUUACCCACAGGAUCCAUCCUGAUGACAAAUUUGACUUCAGCCUCAGGCAACUAAGGUUAAACUGGCCCCUGUUAGGGAGGCUGUUCCUGUUCAGUGGACUCAUGAAAAAAGCAGCUAUGAUGGCCCAGUGGACUUUGUUUGGCCUUUAUAAUGAUGAGAGUCUCAGAGGCCAACUUGGCUACACUGACUGCAAGUUCCUGAUUUUCCAGCAACAGUGACCUAACCAGGCCUGGGAUAAGACACCACACUUCAAAAGGACAAGUCAUCAUGGCAGAUCAAACAAAUAGAGGUUUUUAGGCCAUGGAGGGGUGAACCAUUUGGCUUUG
rnacentral:lncRNA from 1 species